rnacentral:pre_miRNA from 1 species
UUUUAUGAAUGAGCAAAGGAAGUGGUUUCUUGAGAUGGAAUCAGCUCUGGUGAAGAUGCUGUGAA